rnacentral:rRNA from 1 species
AGGACGAACGCUGGCGGCGUGCUUAACACAUGCAAGUCGAACGGAAAGGCCCGCUUGCGGGUACUCGAGUGGCGAACGGGUGAGUAACACGUGGGCAACCUGCCCUCAGCUUCGGGAUAACUCUCGGAAACGGGUGCUAAUACCGAAUGUUGACAUUUCCUCGCAUGGGGUUGUGUUGAAAGUUUUUCGGCUGGGGAUGGGCCCGCGGCCUAUCAGCUUGUUGGUGGGGUGAUGGCCUACCAAGGCGACGACGGGUAGCCGGCCUGAGAGGGCGAUCGGCCACACUGGAACUGAGACACGGUCCAGACUCCUACGGGAGGCAGCAGUGGGGAAUAUUGCGCAAUGGGCGGAAGCCUGACGCAGCGACGCCGCGUGAGGGAUGAAGGUCUUCGGAUUGUAAACCUCUUUCAGUAGGGACGAAUUUAGACGGUACCUGCAGAAGAGCACCGGCCAACUACGCGCCAGCAGCCGC